rnacentral:lncRNA from 1 species
GAUCAUUCGUACACCGCCAUGUAUACGCACACUCGCACAUGAUUUGAUGAGACGACGUAUUUUUCUUUCAUCAUCCAAAUGGAGUUCGGAGAGGUCUUCUCCUAAGGCACGAGACCGCUCUCUCCUCCUCUCCCUCCGCGUCGUCUCCUCGCCGCCUGCCGGAAUUCCUCUCACUCCCCGAUCUCGGCGCUUCAUCCGCCGGAUAUACCUCUCGUUUUUUCUCCGCCUGCCAUGGCUUCUUGUCUUCUAAGCCUCUUUCAAACCAGAAGAUCGAGGAGUCUCAGCUUGCUACUAAGAAGGAGGAGGAUAAUGAGGAGGUGGUUCUUCCUAUCUUCUUCGAAACAGUUUGUUCCUUUUUGUUGUCCGAUUUUUUAGUAACAAGGGGGGAUUUCAGAGAUUUGGGAUGGGGUCAAAGCGUUGUAUGAAUGCUGGGUGUCGGCGAUGGAGCCGGUCGGCGAGGGGGAGUGAAGGGAUGGGGGUUGAAAUCGGGUGGAUUCACCAAUCUCUGCGACAACUUUGAGUAUGUAUGUGUGUAUGUAUAUUUAUAUAUCUUUUUCUUGGAUCCUUUGUGUUUAAUUUGUGCGCCUUGCUUGAUUGUAAUACUUUCUCUUUGUUUGUGUGAUUAUAGGCUUCGUCCUGAUGCUGUGAAGGUGUUCCUUUUGGCAGUGGAAUUCGGUUAUUAUCGGUUUUUGCUCUGUUUUUAAGGAGAUCAUGGAUUUGGUUUCUAAUUUGUAUGAGUUCUUGCUUCUGUGAUUCUCCUGCUUCUGAACUUAACUCUUAUUUUGAGGUUCUUCAUUUUUUCCUUUACUUAAAAGAAGUUGGUAUUUUUUGUGUAGGCAGAGAGUCCCUUUUUUUCUUUCUGCAUGCAUUUGUUGGUUAAGGGAGCAGAAGAGGAUCUCUUGAAGUUGGAAAGUGGGAUCAUUCACCAUACCUCAGGGGAUUGCACUGGUAGGCAUAAUGUUCCUCAUCUCUUUCUUUUCUAUUUCCUUUAUCGACAUAGCUUCAGUUAUCAAAAUGAUUUCCAUGAUUUUGUCUCACCAAGCUUGGGUCUGUUUAAUAUAAUGUACCAGUGAAACAUUAAACUGAGGUAUGCCUACUUCAUUUCAAUACAUAUACUAGUAUAACUGAAUGCACCCAAAGGAGCAACCAUCAUUACAGCACCCAGUUGAAGAGCCCAACAUGAAACAGAG